UUAAGUGGCGGACGGGUGAGUAACGCGUGGGUAACCUGCCUCAUACAGGGGGAUAACAGUUAGAAAUGACUGCUAAUACCGCAUAAGACCACAGCACCGCAUGGUGCGGGGGUAAAAACUCCGGUGGUAUGAGAUGGACCCGCGUCUGAUUAGCUAGUUGGUAAGGUAACGGCUUACCAAGGCGACGAUCAGUAGCCGACCUGAGAGGGUGACCGGCCACAUUGGGACUGAGACACGGCCCAA
rnacentral:rRNA from 1 species